CUGAUUGGAGGACACGGGGGAGAAGGCGUGCCCUCUGCGAAAUCCAAAAAUGUGAUUGGACCGUCUUUAGUCCCGCCUUCACCAGCAGCAGAGAUGGACGCGCUGGUGAACCGCUCCGCCGCGUCGCGUUCGGUUCUGCGUUCAUAACCGUUAACGUACGGGAUCCUCGGCGCGUUUUGAUUAAAACAGACGCAGUUCGUCGCUUGUUUCUAUCAUAGGAUCUCAAGCCAGCAGGAUGGCAGGUGGCGGCGGCUGCGUGACGCUCCGCGGCGCUCAGAUCCGGGACCUGCUGGACUCCAAACACAACGUGCUGUUCGACUGCGACGGCGUCAUCUGGAACGGAGAAACGGCCGUUACCGGAGCUCCGGAGGUGGUCAGUCUGCUCAAGCAGCGCGGCAAACGCGUGUUCUUCGUCACCAACAACUGCACCAGGCCGCGGGAGAACUACGUGCAGAAGUUCAGCCGCCUCGGCUUCGCGGACGUCGCGGAGGAGGAGAUCUUCAGCUCGGCGUACUGCUCCGCCGCGUACCUGCGCGACGUGGCGCGGCUGCAGGGGAAGGUGUACGUGAUCGGCUGCGACGGGGUGAUGAAGGAGCUGCGGGACGCCGGGGUGCCGGUGGCGGAGGAGGAGGACGCGGAGCCGGGCGCCAGCAUCUACACCUGCCCGCUGGACCCGGAUGUGAAGGCGGUGCUGGUGGGAUACGACGAGAACUUCACCUUCAUGAAGCUCGCCAAAGCCUGCUGCUACCUGCGGAGCUCCGAGUGCCUGUUCCUGGCCACUGACCCGGACCCCUGGCACCCGCUGAGAGGAGGCAGGGUCACCCCUGGGUCCGGCAGCCUCACGGCGGCUCUGGAGACGGCCAGCAGCAGGAAGGCCACGGUCAUCGGGAAGCCCAGCCGCUUCAUGUUCAACUGCAUCGCCAGCCAGUUCGGUCUGGACCCGGCGCGCUCGCUGAUGAUCGGAGACCGGCUGGAGACGGACGUUCUGUUCGGCAGCAACUGCGGCCUGACCACGGUGCUGACGCUGACGGGCGUCUCCACGCUGCAGGAGGCGCUCGCGUUCAGAGACAGCCAGGAGCCACAGCAGAAGCACUGCGCGCCCGAUUACGUGAUGGAGUCUGUGGCCGAUUUCCUGCAGGCACUGGAGGAGUGACAACUACACUGUUCCUCGACCGGACGCUCUGCUGACCACACUCGUCUUUGAGAAGCAGUCGUGCAUGAGAUGAGGUCUGAGUCUGUAUGACUGCAGGAGGCGGAUCGUAAUGACACUCAUCCUGAUGCCCUUGUAACGCAGCUUCAUUCUCAGCCAACAGCUGGUCAGAAGACAAUCAACUAACGUCCCUCGACUCUAACAUGAGUUCUGAUGAAGUUAACAGCAUCGGUGAUUAGUUAAGUCUAGUUAAAGCACUGUGCCAGUCCAAAUCUCUACUUGGGAAUGGGACAGUUUAGAGCAGUUUGACCAAUGCAGUGACUAAUUUAUGUGCCAACUGCUGUAUGUGUAUUUAUUUUGAAUCAUUAUUUAGGUUUAAUUGCAUUCGUGUUAUUUGACUGAGAUUUGUUUUCAGAUCUUGAUGAAAAUGUCUGACUACUGCUCACUUGUUUGUUGAUUGGGUUUUAACUGCCUUUAUUAACAAAAGUGACCUUUUUGACCGGAGUAGUUGAUGUUUGAGAGCCGUGUGUUAUUCAGUGGUUCGGCUUGAUGUAAAGCUCAGAAACGUGAAAUAUGAAACAUCUGCAAAUCUAACAUGCCAAAAUCAUCCCAUGUGAAACCACUGAAUGUCAACCUGCAUGAAUGAGAAGAUGAAAUCAUACUGUGGUUUUGAUUCUAGUCAGUCAACCGUUCGUUGAAACUGGACCGUUUUAUUACAGAAACGUAAUCCUGAGUGAUUUCUGGUCAUGGUUUAUUGUCUUUAGACUUUGUGUCCAUUAUGAACAUCUAGUUCUGAACAUUGAUAAUAUUGAAGACAAACAUGCAAAUGCAUCUGAAGUCAACUGUGAACUGCUUUGAUGGAUUUAAUGCUCUAUGUGGUGUGAAUGAACUUUUUUAGCAAUAAAAACAUGCCUUGUAUCUUGUUGUUAUUAUUGUCUGCCCACGAUUAAAUUUACAGUAGAUUGC